CGCCGGGGGACACUGGCAUCAAUAAACUUGUCUCCAAGCCAUCAGGUCCGCAGGACAGAGAGGCAGAGGGGCGAAGGCUUGCCACCAAGUCCUGACUGUGUCCUUGGGAAUGUGGAUGAUGGCACUUCAGCCAACAAGCAUAUUCUGCCUUAGUAAGUGUCUCACCCACGGUGCACUGGCCCCGCCACCAUCACCCCCAGUGCUGACACAGACACAGGGCCUCAGGUGCCAAUCUUCCUCAGUAAGGAGUGAGAUCAACUCUUCAAACCUGAACCGUUCCCUCUCUGCUUACUUCUGGGAGAUCCAAGUCCAGGGAGAAAUAAAGGGCAACGCAGAUCCCCUCGUGCUUGAAAGGCAUUGUUUUCCUUUUGGUGAACACAAUAAAGCUCCGAACUCA